CAGAGGGUGCGAGCGUUAAUCGGAAUUACUGGGCGUAAAGCGCGCGUAGGCGGCUUUGCAAGUCGGGUGUGAAAUCCCCAGGCUUAACCUGGGAACUGCAUUCGAGACUGCAUAGCUAGAGUAUGGGAGAGGGAAGUGGAAUUUCAGGUGUAGCGGUGAAAUGCGUAGAUAUCUGAAGGAACAUCAGUGGCGAAAGCGACUUCCUGGACCAAUACUGACGCUCAUGUGCAAAAGCGUGGGGAGCAAACAGGAUUAGAUACCCUGGUAGUCCACGCCAUAAACGAUGAGAACUGGAUGUCGGGAGGGUCUGCCUCUCGGUGUCGUAGCUAACGCGUUAAGUUCUCCGCCUGGGGAGUACGGCCGCAAGGUUG
rnacentral:rRNA from 1 species